AGAGUUUGAUCCUGGCUCAGGAUGAACGCUAGCGAUAGGCCUAACACAUGCAAGUCGAGGGGCAGCAUAGAGUAGCAAUACUUUGAUGGCGACCGGCGCACGGGUGAGUAACACGUAUGCAACCUACCUACAUCAGGGGAAUAACCCGGAGAAAUUCGGACUAAUACCGCAUAAUACAGGGAUGCCGCAUGGCAAUAUUUGUUAAAGAUUUAUCGGAUGUAGAUGGGCAUGCGUUCCAUUAGCUAGUUGGUAAGGUAACGGCUUACCAAGGCAACGAUGGAUAGGGGAACUGAGAGGUUUGUCCCCCACACUGGAACUGAGACACGGACCAGACUCCUACGGGAGGCAGCAGUGAGGAAUAUUGGUCAAUGGACGAGAGUCUGAACCAGCCAAAUCGCGUGAAGGAAGACUGCCCUACGGGUUGUAAACUUCUUUUGUACAGGAAUAAAAGACAUUACGUGUAAUGUAUUGCAUGUACUGUACGAAUAAGCAUCGGCUAUCUCCGUGCCAGCAGCCGCGGUAAUACGGAGGAUGCGAGCGUUAUCCGGAUUUAUUGGGUUUAAAGGGUGCGCAGGCGGGAUUUUAAGUCAGCGGUGAAAUUUUCAGGCUCAACCUGAACACUGCCGUUGAAACUGGGAUUCUUGAGUAUGGAUGAAGUAGGCGGAAUUCGUUGUGUAGCGGUGACAUGCUUAGAUAUAACGAGGAACUCCGAUUGCGUAGGCAGCUUACUAAGCCAUAACUAACGCUCAAGCACGAAAGCGUGGGGAUCAAACAGGAUUAGAUACCCUGGUAGUCG
rnacentral:rRNA from 1 species